AUUGAACGCUGGCGGCAUGCCUUACACAUGCAAGUCGAACGGCAGCACGGGAGCAAUCCUGGUGGCGAGUGGCGAACGGGUGAGUAAUAUAUCGGAACGUGCCCAGUCGUGGGGGAUAACGCAGCGAAAGCUGUGCUAAUACCGCAUACGAUCUACGGAUGAAAGCGGGGGGUCGCAAGACCUCGCGCGAUUGGAGCGGCCGAUAUCAGAUUAGCUAGUUGGUGAGGUAAAGGCUCACCAAGGCGACGAUCUGUAGCUGGUCUGAGAGGACGACCAGCCACACUGGAACUGAGACACGGUCCAGACUCCUACGGGAGGCAGCAGUGGGGAAUUUUGGACAAUGGGCGCAAGCCUGAUCCAGCAAUGCCGCGUGCAGGAUGAAGGCCUUCGGGUUGUAAACUGCUUUUGUACGGAACGAAGCGGCGAGCUCUAAUACAGUUUGCUAAUGACGGUACCGUAAGAAUAAGCACCGGCUAACUACGUGCCAGCAGCCGCCGUAACAC
rnacentral:rRNA from 1 species